CAGAGGGUGCGAGCGUUGUUCGGAAUUACUGGGCGUAAAGCGCGCGUAGGCGGUCGUUUAAGUCUUACCGUGAAAUGCCGGGGCUCAACCCCGCGCACGUCGGGGGAUACUGGACGACUGGAGACAAGUAGAGGCGAGCGGAAUUCCGGGUGUAGCGGUGGAAUGCGUAGAGAUCCGGAAGAACACCAGAGGCGAAGGCGGCUCGCUGGGCUUGGUCUGACGCUGAGGCGCGAAAGCGUGGGGAGCGAACAGGAUUAGAUACCCUGGUAGUCCACGCCGUAAACGAUGGAUGCUAGGCGCUGGGCGGAUCGACCCGGUCAGUGUCGCAGCUAACGCGAUAAGCAUCCCGCCUGGGGAGUACGGCCGCAAGGCUG
rnacentral:rRNA from 1 species